rnacentral:rRNA from 1 species
AAAUUGAAGAGUUUGAUCAUGGCUCAGAUUGAACGCUGGCGGCAGGCCUAACACAUGCAAGUCGAACGGUAGCACAGAGAGCUUGCUCUCGGGUGACGAGUGGCGGACGGGUGAGUAAUGUCUGGGAAACUGCCUGAUGGAGGGGGAUAACUACUGGAAACGGUGGCUAAUACCGCAUAACGUCGCAAGACCAAAGAGGGGGACCUUCGGGCCUCUUGCCAUCAGAUGUGCCCAGAUGGGAUUAGCUUGUUGGUGAGGUAACGGCUCACCAA